UCCUGGUGGCUCAGAUGGUAAAGAAUCUGCCUGCAAUGCAGGAGACCUGGGUUCAAUUCCUGGGUCAGGAA
rfam:TPA: Bos taurus chromosome 16, whole genome shotgun sequence.